rnacentral:lncRNA from 1 species
UUAGUAUUGUCAGCCUUGGAUCUUGUGGACAGGUGGAGAGUGAGAUCUUGGACCUAGGACUAUAGAUUGUCGUAGGAGACUUUCUGUUAUUGGAGGUUUUGGCAGUUUGUGUGGUUGCUGGUAGGAGACUGUGGUCUCCAAGGUAAGAGUUUUGACUAAGGUAUUAGAGCCACGUUUCUUUUUCGCUCGUGGUAAGCAGGUUGAUGUUGUUGGCUAGUCAGGAGUAUUUUGUUUCAGUCUACGUGAA